AGUCGAACGGAAAGGCCCUUCGGGGUACUCGAGUGGCGAACGGGUGAGUAACACGUGGGUGAUCUGCCCUGCACUUUGGGAUAAGCCUGGGAAACUGGGUCUAAUACCGAAUACACCCUUCUGGCUGCAUGGUCUGGGAGGGGAAAGCUUUUGCGGUGUGGGAUGGGCCCGCGGCCUAUCAGCUUGUUGGUGAGGUUACGGCUCACCAAGGCGACGACGGGUAGCCGGCCUGAGAGGGUGACCGGCCACACUGGGACUGAGAUACGGCCCAGACUCCUACGGGAGGCAGCAGUGGGGAAUAUUGCACAAUGGGCGCAAGCCUGAUGCAGCGACGCCGCGUGAGGGAUGACGGCCUUCGGGUUGUAAACCUCUUUCGCCAGGGACGAAGCGCAAGUGACGGUACCUGGAGAAGAAGGACCGGCCAACUACGUGCCAGCAGCCGCGGUAAUACGUAGGGUCCGAGCGUUGUCCGGAAUUACUGGGCGUAAAGAGCUCGUAGGUGGUUUGUCGCGUUGUUCGUGAAAACUCACAGCUCAACUGUGGGCGUGCGGGCGAUACGGGCAGACUGGAGUACUGCAGGGGAGACUGGAAUUCCUGGUGUAGCGGUGGAAUGCGCAGAUAUCAGGAGGAACACCGGUGGCGAAGGCGGGUCUCUGGGCAGUAACUGACGCUGAGGAGCGAAAGCGUGGGGAGCGAACAGGAUUAGAUACCCUGGUAGUCCACGCCGUAAACGGUGGGUACUAGGUGUGGGUUUCCUUCCUUGGGAUCCGUGCCGUAGCUAACGCAUUAAGUACCCCGCCUGGGGAGUACGGCCGCAAGGCUAAAACUCAAAGAAAUUGACGGGGGCCCGCACAAGCGGCGGAGCAUGUGGAUUAAUUCGAUGCAACGCGAAGAACCUUACCUGGGUU
rnacentral:rRNA from 1 species